UCGAGAGGCUUCGGCAAUGGGGGAAACCCUGACCGAGCGACGCCGCGUGGGGGAUGAAGGCCCUUGGGUUGUAAACCCCUUUCAGUUGGGAAGAAACUAGGUCGGGUGAACAAUCCGAUCUGUUGACGGUACCAACAGAAGAAGCUCCGGCUAACUCCGUGCCAGCAGCCGCGGUAAUACGGGGGGAGCGAGCGUUGUUCGGAAUUACUGGGCGUAAAGGGCGUGUAGGCGGCACGGUAAGUGAGAUGUGAAAUCCCCCGGCUUACCCGGGGAACGGCAUCUCAUACUGCCGAGCUUGAGUGCGGAAGAGGAUGGGGGAAUUCCUGGUGUAGCGGUGAAAUGCGUAGAUAUCAGGAGGAACACCGGUGGCGAAGGCGCCCAUCUGGUCCGUUACUGACGCUGAGGCGCGAAAGCUAGGGGAGCGAACGGGAUUAGAUACCCCGGUAGUCCUAGCCGUAAACGGUGGGCACUAGGUGUUGGAGGCAUCGACCCUUCCAGUGCCGCAGCUAACGCAUUAAG
rnacentral:rRNA from 1 species